rnacentral:rRNA from 1 species
GAUGAACGCUGGCGGCGUGCCUAAUACAUGCAAGUCGAGCGAACGGACGAGAAGCUUGCUUCUCUGAUGUUAGCGGCGGACGGGUGAGUAACACGUGGAUAACCUACCUAUAAGACUGGGAUAACUUCGGGAAACCGGAGCUAAUACCGGAUAAUAUUUUGAACCGCAUGGUUCAAAAGUGAAAGACGGUCUUGCUGUCACUUAUAGAUGGAUCCGCGCUGCAUUAGCUAGUUGGUAAGGUAACGGCUUACCAAGGCAACGAUGCAUAGCCGACCUGAGAGGAGGAUCGGCCACACUGGAACUGGGACACGGUCCAGACUCCUACGGGAGGCAGCAGUAGGGAAUCUUCCGCAAUGGGCGAAAGCCUGACGGAGCAACGCCGCGUGAGUGAUGAAGGUCUUCGGAUCGUAAAACUCUGUUAUUAGGGAAGAACAUAUGUGUAAGUAACUGUGCACAUCUUGACGGUACCUAAUCAGAAAGCCACGGCUAACUACGUG